rnacentral:misc_RNA from 1 species
UUCCAUCAAAGUAAUAAUCUCCCAUUUAUUGAAUGAAUCAAAUUAAUUCUAUAAUUGAUUAAAGUGUAAACCCCUAGCUCUAGAAUGCCUUUAUCAAUUAGUAUUUUAUUUUAGUUAAUUAUUUAGAUUUUAUUUCUUUUCAAUUUGGAUAUAAUUAUUAUUUUUCUACAAUUCAAUCGUCUAGAUAAUUAAAAUCACUAUAGU